GAGUGGCGAACGGGUGAGUAACACGUGGGUUAACCUACCCAUUCAGCGGGGGAUAACACUUGGAAACAGGUGCUAAUACCGCAUAAUCUUNUUCUCCGCCUGGAGAGAAAGUGAAAGGCGCUUUUGCGUCACUGAUGGAUGGACCCGCGCUGCAUUAGUUAGUUGGUGGGGUAACGGCCUACCAAGGCAGUGAUCUGUAGCUGGUUUGAGAGGACGACCAGCCACACUGGGACUGAGACACGGCCCAGACUCCUACGGGAGGCAGCAGUGGGGAAUUUUCGACAAUGGGGGAAACCCUGAUCGAGCCAUCCCGCGUGUGGGACGAAGGCCUUCGGGUUGUAAACCACUUUUCUUAGCGAAGAAAAGUCUUAGGCUAAUACCUUAAGAUGCUGACGGUAGCUAAGGAAUAAGCAUCGGCUAACUACGUGCCAGCAGCCGCGGUAAUACGUAGGAUGCAAGCGUUAAUCGGAAUUACUGGGCGUAAAGGGUGCGCAGGCGGCUUGGAAAGAACGGUGUGAAAUCCCGGGGCUCAACCCCGGAACUGCACUAUUAACUAUCAAGCUAGAGUAUGUCAGAGGGGGGUGGAAUUCCGCGUGUAGCAGUGAAAUGCGUAGAUAUGCGGAGGAACACCAAUGGCGAAGGCAGCCCCCUGGGAUAAUACUGACGCUCAGGCACGAAAGCGUGGGUAGCAAACAGGAUUAGAUACCCUGGUAGUCCACGCCCUAAACGAUGUCAACUAGCUGUUGGGCCGGUUACGGCUUAGUAGCGCAGCUAACGCGUGAAGU
rnacentral:rRNA from 1 species